AUUGAACGCUGGCGGCAGGCCUAACACAUGCAAGUCGAACGGUAACAGGAAGACGCUUGCUUCUUUGCUGACGAGUGGCGGACGGGUGAGUAACGUCUGGGAAACUGCCUGAUGGAGGGGGAUAACUACUGGAAACGGUAGCUAAUACCGCAUAAUGUCGCAAGACCAAAGAGGGGGACCUUCGGGCCUCUUGCCAUCGGAUGUGCCCAGAUGGGAUUAGCUAGUAGGUGGGGUAACGGCUCACCUAGGCGACGAUCCCUAGCUGGUCUGAGAGGAUGACCAGCCACACUGGAACUGAGACACGGUCCAGACUCCUACGGGAGGCAGCAGUGGGGAAUAUUGCACAAUGGGCGCAAGCCUGAUGCAGCUAUGCCGCGUGUAUGAAGAAGGCCUUCGGGUUGUAAAGUACUUUCAGCGGGGAGGAAGGGAGUAAAGUUAAUACCUUUGCUCAUUGACGUUACCCGCAGAAGAAGCACCGGCUAACUCCGUG
rnacentral:rRNA from 1 species